GUCGGGGUAGUUCAGUGGUUAGAACGCUGCGCUCAUAUCGCAGAGGUCGUGGGUUCGAGUCCCACCCUCGACA
rnacentral:tRNA from 1 species